GCCACAUGAAGCAGAGUGGGGGCUGGGGGGUGAGCUAACAGGGUUCGUUCUUCCUCUCGUUGCAUUUAAAAAUAUGUGUCUUUCUUUGGUUCUGCUUCUGUCAGUUAUUGUCAGCUAUAUCCAGAAAAUAUAAUGUAUAGUCUCUAUGCCCUGUGGAAUUUUGGAGAGUGCAUGCUUUCAUCAGAGUCUUCACAAAGUGCUCACAACUGGAGAAAAGUCACAGUACAACUGUAGCUGCAGAGUGCCUCUUACAGAAUGCUUUCAAGUGGUCCCUCCUUACCUGGGUCGAUGCUCCUGUUUCUAUCUUGAGGUGCCCUGUGUGCAGUGCUAG
rnacentral:lncRNA from 1 species